GGCUGUAGCUCAGUUGGUUAGAGCACCGCACUCAUAAUGCGGGGGUCACAAGUUCAAGUCUCGUCAUAGCCACCA
rnacentral:tRNA from 1 species